rnacentral:rRNA from 1 species
GACGAACGCUGGCGGCGUGCUUAACACAUGCAAGUCGAACGGAAAGGCCCUGCUUUUGUGGGGUGCUCGAGUGGCGAACGGGUGAGUAACACGUGAGUAACCUGCCCUUGACUUUGGGAUAACUUCAGGAAACUGGGGCUAAUACCGGAUAGGAGCUCCUGCUGCAUGGUGGGGGUUGGAAAGUUUCGGCGGUUGGGGAUGGACUCGCGGCUUAUCAGCUUGUUGGUGGGGUAGUGGCUUACCAAGGCUUUGACGGGUAGCCGGCCUGAGAGGGUGACCGGCCUCAUUGGGACUGAGAUACGGCCCAGACUCCUACGGGAGGCAGCAGUGGGGAAUAUUGCACAAUGGGCGGAAGCCUGAUGCAGCAACGCCGCGUGCGGGAUGACGGCCUUCGGGUUGUAAACCGCUUUCGCCUGUGACGAGGCGUGAGUGACGGUAAUGGGUAAAGAAGCACCGGCUAACUACGUG